rnacentral:rRNA from 1 species
CCUACGGGGGGCAGCAGUAGGGAAUAUUGCUCAAUGGGGGAAACCCUGAAGCAGCAACGCCGCGUGGAGGAUGAAGGUUUUCGGAUUGUAAACUCCUUUUGUUAGAGAAGAUAAUGACGGUAUCUAACGAAUAAGCACCGGCUAACUACGUGCCAGCAGCCGCGGGAAUACGGAGGGGUCAAACGUUACUCGGGAUAACUGGGCGUAACGAGCGCGUAGGCGGUAUAGCAAGUCAGAUGUGCAAUCCUAUGGCUUAACCAUAGAACUGCAUUGGAAACUGUUAUUCUAGAGUAUGGGAGAGGUAGGUGGAAUUCUUGGUGUAGGGGUAAAAUCCGUAGAGAUCAAGAGGAAUACUCAUUGCGAAGGCGACCUGCUAGAACAUAACUGACGCUGAUGCGCGAAAGCGUGGGGAGCAAACAGGAUUAGAUACCCUGGUAGUC